rnacentral:misc_RNA from 1 species
UCCCCCCUCCCCCUCCUCCACGUCUACGACACCGUCUUCCACGGCUUCUCCGCCUCCCUCCACCCCACCGACGCCGCCACCCUCGCCCGCCACCCCAACGUCCUCGCCGUCUUCGAGGACCGCCGCCGCCACCUCCACACCACCCGCUCCCCUCAAUUCCUUGGUCUCCGCAACCAGCGCGGUCUCUGGUCUGAAUCCGACUAUGGCGCCGACGUCAUCGUCGGUGUCCUCGACACCGGCAUCUGCCCCGAGCGCCGCAGCUUCUCCGACCACAACCUUGGCCCCAUCCCCUCCCGCUGGCGCGGCGCCUGCGAAUCCGGCCCCGGCUUCUCCUCCUCCCUCUGCAACCGCAAGCUAGUCGGCGCCCGCUUCUUCGCCAAAGGCCACGACGCCGCCUCCCCGAUCACCGGCAGCGUCAUCAACGCAUCCAUCGAGUACCGAUCUCCCCGCGACGCCGACGGCCACGGCACCCACACCGCCUCCACCGCCGCUGGCCGCUACGUCUUCCAGGCUAACUUCUCCGGCUACGCCGGAGGCAUCGCCAAGGGCGUCGCCCCGAAAGCCCGCCUUGCCGUCUACAAGGUCUGCUGGAAGGACUCAGGCUGCCUCGACUCCGACAUCCUCG